AGUCACGGCUUUGAGCCCCACAUUCGAGGCUGUGACCCCAGACGCUCACAAGUGAUGCUUCGUUAAGGGGUUGGACGACAGGAGUUGGAACUGCAUUCCCGAAUCCAAAUCCUCUACUUCUUCAUCUCCCCGCCACUGUUUGAAAUAUAAG